AAACAUUUACUUAUAUAUAUUGAUCAAAUAACAUUCAUCAAACCUUUCAAACUUAGCAAAUUCUUAUUCAUUCAUUUCAUUACCUCUUAUGGAUUAUGCACCACAUUUACAUUCAAAAUAUAAAACAUUUACAAGUGACAAACACCAAACCUAGUACAUGCCACAUUUCUAAAAGAUAGAUGUAUCACCAAAAUUGAGCUGAGGUCAGGAUUGACUUGGAUGCUUGACUGAACUUCAACUUUACCUAACCUGCGCACGGAAAACAACCGUACGCUGAGUAUUGGAAAUACUCAGUGGUAUUAUCAUAAUUCAAAUUAUAACAACAAUAAAAUAUCAUAACAUACAUAGAUAAUUAGCAAAUCAUACAUACAAAUCAUACAUAUAAAUUCAUACCAAACUGUCAUAUUUCUAUUAUAUCAUUUUCAAUGUUAGAUCCAAUAAAUCAUCAAUGAGAUUUCAAUUAACUCAUGAACCUUUGAUUCAUCUCUCAACCACGUAUAAUUAUUCAAUUCACAUUUCAAAUAUAAACACUUCAUAAACCACAUAUAAUUAUUCAAUUCACAUUUCAAAUAUGAACCUUUGAUUCAUCUCUCAACCACAUAUAAUUAUUCACUUCACAUUUCAAAUAUAAACACUUCAUAAACCUUUGGUUCAUGCCUUCAAUCUCUUUACAAAUUUCAUCUCACAUUCCAUCUUACAAUAUCACUUUCUCAUUUUAUUCGAUAGCUCAAUUAAUCAAAUUCAUUUGAUUUUAUUAUUUCAUUUAUUUUCCCCUAUUAACAUGACUCGGACUUUGGCGGAUACACGAAUCCACCCAACACAUACCAGAAUGGCGGCCAACGCCUCAUCGGAUAGUUGGAAGCAAAUAAGUGACGACCAAGGUCUCAUCGACUAAGCCGAAGCAAAGUGGCGACCAACGCCUCAUCAAAUCUAUCCGAAGUAAAUAUGACACACUAAGUGUCUCAUCGACUCGAGGUUGAAGAAUCCCUAAACUCUUCCUAUCCUAUGGCAUGCCAACUAUAUCCACUGUAGCCCGACUAGUUAAUAAGGUAUCAAAAUCACGUAUUCGUAUUACUUUCACUUUCAGUUGAUCGUAAUCACUCGAAUUCAUAUCCAUCGCAAUAACAAUUCAAUCACAAUCUCAAAUUCACCACAAAUCAUUAUACAAUUCAAUUUCACACAUAUAUACAUUCAUCAAUCAAAUCCAAUUCAAAUAUCACUACUUACCUCUUAUUCAAAUUCCAUACACAUAUAUUAAAAUUAAAUAUUUAAUAAGAAAUAACUUGAAUUAUGAUAAUACAAACCGAUAUUUUUCACGAGCUAUUCCUCGAUCACUUUUUCCUUUCCCUUCUCAUUCAACGACGGUUCCGGUGCUACGUUAGCUACGAACAAUUAUACAAUUAAAAUUUAUCAAUACACUAAUUCAUAAAUCACAUUUUCACUUUCUAUCAAACUUUUACAAAAAUUCCAAUUUCGUCCUUUUUCCAUAACCAAUCUUUUUCUUUAACUUAAUCUUCAUAUUUUCAUUUAAUCAUCUCAUUAAUAAAUCCUAGCUCAUAAAAUUUAUCAUAAAGCAUAACUUUUGAGCUCCUUUCAAUUUAGUCCCUACUUAAAUCUAACUUAAAAUUCUUUUAACAAUUCACUCAUUUUUCACUUCUAACUUAAAUUUCUAUCAAAUUAACCCAUAAAUCCUCAAAUUAUUCAUCUAAAUAAACAUCUAAAAAUUCAUUAUUUUUCUUCAUAUUAACCUCAUACAUGUAGAACUUUGAAUUAGGAUUUCAUACACAUAAAAAUCAUAAGAAAAAGAACUAAAUCAACUUACCAAUCAAGCUUUAAGCCCUUAACCUUUAAUUUUCCCUUUUUCUUUUUCUUUUCUUCUUUCUUUCUCUCUUUCACGUUUCUUUCUCUGUAACUUUC
rnacentral:lncRNA from 1 species